GAAUACUGCUGGGAAUGGGAGGGAGG
rnacentral:piRNA from 1 species